GAGCGCCAAGAGGCGCCCAACCAAAAUAACCAAGUAGGGAUGCUCGGCUAGAAAGAGCCGACCAGAAGAACGCCGACCAGAGAAGCGCUCGAACUAGGAAGCGCCGACCAAAGACAGCGCCAAAUAGAGGCGCUCGGCUAGAAGGUGCUCGCCCAAAGGGCGUCGACCAGAAGUACUAGAAGCAACCCCGCCACAGGGCGCCCCUCUGGGCGACCAGCUCGGCUCGGCACUCUUGCCGAGCCGAUGCCUUAACUAAUACUCCUCCCCGCCUAGCUUUCUCGAAAGGUCCGGCGGCUAUACACGCGACUCUACUACAACCUGCCACUAUCUCCAAGCCAUCAAGGCAUAAGAUCUCCGCAGGUAUUCGGCACGACCUGCCAUUAAUGCAUGAGACUCCCUCAAGUCUCCAAUGCACUCAGUCAUUUAAUGAACACGGCUCAAGACGAUCUCCGGAUCGCUGAACCAUCAAAGCGUAUGGCUCUCCCUGACCGUCGGUUCAUUCGGUAAUAAAUGCACUUACCAUCUACAGACCCCAGGCCCACCACAGCCGGCGAUUCAACCACUCCAACAGGUCCGAUCGACCAUGACAACUCCCUGGUUCCGGUCUGAUUCGGUCCCGUUCUCCACUACGCCAUUAAUGGGCCAAAUCAUGCCCAAUUAUGACGAAAAGAGACAAAUUCUCCUGCCACCUCCCAGGUAACGUAAUUCCCUUCUAUAAAAGGAAACCUGA
rnacentral:lncRNA from 1 species